rnacentral:lncRNA from 10 species
UUGAACCUGGGAGGCAGAGGUUGCAGCGAGCUGAGGUCGCACCACUGCACUCCAGCCUGGGCGAUAGAGCAAGAUUCUGUCUCAAAAAACAAACAAACAAACAAACAAAAUGAGCCGCUUUCACACACUCUUUUCCCUUUAUUUGCUCUGAAUUUGUCCGCUGGUUUGGCUUCAGCAUUUCUUGGGGGGAGGGUAUGAUUUCUCUGCUUGGUCCAAGUUCUUCCUACAUGUAGGGAUCUAAAAGACAACAACAUGCAACUACAAUUCUCUAGCUUCCUUGGAUUUUGCACGCAGCUUCACCAGACAGCAGACUGUGACCCUUUUCAUCAGACCAUGCUAGAAGGAAAGAAAGACUCUGAGCAGAAGGGGUGAGAUGAAGCAGUUCUGGCCGAAUCUUGAUAAUGAUUGGACCUGGGCAAUGAUUUCAUAAGAGCUUAUUGUGCUCAUCUCCCUACUACUAUGUAUGCUUGAAUAUUUGAAUAAUGAAAAUAAAACUUCUUUUUUUUUUUUCGAGAU